AUGAACUUCCAAGUGCUUCUGCUGGUCUUUGCUGUGGUGAUUGCCACUAACAUCAACUGUCAAGCACAACCUCAGCUAGGAGAUUCAAAUAAAUCUCCAAUGGUCAAACGUCAUGUCAUAUCCAGGCAACAGGGCAAGACAUGUAACUGCAUUGGGAGAAGAAAUGCACUGGACCAGAACUACUGUCCCUGUGAGCUGCAACGUCAAUAUAGAAUGCUCAGUAAAGAGCAGAAAGAUGUGUGCCUAAAAAAGAGGAUUUCAACAUUUAAAAAAUGCCAACAGUUGAUUGGAGGAAACAGGAAGGAGAAAAAAGGCAUCAGUAUGCCGAUUUAA
rnacentral:lncRNA from 12 species